CUUGCUUUUAUUGCUGACGCAGCGAGCGAGCCUGAAUCGAGCGAGUAAGUCAGCAGUUCUAAUUCAUAUUGAGCUCUGAGAGUAGGAUUUUACUUCCAUUUCUCCGACCAGAAUGCACUGCUGUUAACCGACCAGAAUGCAUUGUUGUUAACAGACCAGAAUGUUUUGCAUGCAUGAUGCUAUAAAUACGGGGAAUCUCAUUGGUCAGUUUAUACUAGUACACUGUUAUUUUCGGGGUGUUAUUUUAAAAUUAACAAAACUUUGAAGGGAUUCUAGAGGGGUAAUACGGGAGUUGAAAAUUUGAGCUCUUUUAACUCCAUAACUGGAAUUAAAAUAAUACCCUUUGAGGGGUUACAGGCAUUCGCAAGCUAAUCAGUAUUCAAAAGUAACACGUAAGGGGGGGUUAGUGAAUCUAACUCAGUUUGAGGGGUUACUGGUGUCAAGAGCAAGUGUCAGUGUGUCACAUGAUUUAAUACAUAUAUAUGGCGUUCAAGUUGAUAUUUUAUCGAAC